rnacentral:rRNA from 1 species
CUCCGAAUACCCGGGAGUACUAGAUGGCAGACACACGGCGGAUGCUAACGUCCGUCGUGGAGAGGGCAACAACCCUGACCACCAGCUAAGGUCCCCAAGUUAUGGCUAAGUGGGAAAGGAUGUGAAGAUUCCAAAACAACCAGGAUGUUGGCUUAGAAGCAGCCAUCAUUUAAAGAAAGCGUAACAGCUCACUGGUCUAAAUAAGAGUCUUUGCGCCGAAAAUGUAACGGGGCUUAAGCCAUACACCGAAGCUGUGGGUUCAUCUCUUAGGAGGUGAGCGGUAGCGGAGCGUUCCGUAGGCCUGUGAAGGCGGACCCGUGAGGGCUGCUGGAGGUAUCGGAAGUGCGAAUGCUGACAUGAGUAACGAUAAAGGGAGUGAGAGACUCCCUCGCCGAAAGUCCAAGGGUUCCUGCUUAAAGUUAAUCUGAGCAGGGUUAGCCGGCCCCUAAGGCGAGGCCGAAAGGCGUAGUCGAUGGGAACGGGGCGAAUAUUCCCCGGCCAGUGGAUGGUG